rnacentral:piRNA from 1 species
UCAACCUUGAUCUGAAUUCCAUGCGGGAU